UCAGGCCUAACACAUGCAAGUCGAACGAGGUAGCAAUACCUAGUGGCGGACGGGUGAGUAACGCGUGGGAACGUGCCCUUUGCUUCGGAAUAGCCUCGGGAAACUGGGAGUAAUACCGGAUGAGCCCUACGGGGGAAAGAUUUAUCGGCAAAGGAUCGGCCCGCGUUGGAUUAGGUAGUUGGUGGGGUAAAGGCCUACCAAGCCGACGAUCCAUAGCUGGUUUGAGAGGAUGAUCAGCCACACUGGGACUGAGACACGGCCCAGACUCCUACGGGAGGCAGCAGUGGGGAAUCUUAGACAGUGGGCGCAAGCCUGAUCUAGCCAUGCCGCGUGAUCGAAGGGGGCCCUAGGGUUGUAAAGAUCUUUCGGGGGGAAG
rnacentral:rRNA from 1 species